GGCCCCAUAGUCUAGCGGUUAGGACGUCGGCCUCUCACGCCGAAAACUUGGGUUCAAGUCCCAAUGGGGUCA
rnacentral:tRNA from 1 species